rnacentral:rRNA from 1 species
UACGGGAGGCAGCAGUGGGGAAUUUUGGACAAUGGGGGCAACCGUGAUCCAGCAAUGCCGCGCGAGUGAAGAAGGCCUUCGGGUGUAAAGCUCUUUGUCAGGGAAGAAAUGGUGGUGCGAAUAAGGUUGAUAAGACGGUACUGAAGAAUAGCAUCGGGAAA